GUGCAAGCGUUAUCCGGAAUAUGGGCGGUAAAGCGCGCGGCAGGUGGUUUCUAAGUCUGAUGUGAAAGCCCACGGCUCAACCGUGGAGGGUCAUUGGAAACUGGGAGACUUGAGUGGCAGAAGAAGAAAGUGGAAUUCAUGUUGUAGCGGUGAAAUGCGGUAGAGAUAUGGAGGAACAACAGUGGCGAAGGCGACUUUUCGGUCUGUACCGACCAUGAAGCGGGAAAGCGUGGGGAGCCAAACAGAUUAGAUUCCCUGGUAAUCCAACGCGUUAACGAUGAGGGGCUAGUUGUAGGGGGUUUUCCGCCCUUAGGUGCUAAGGUUACGCCAUAAGCAAUCCGCCCUGGGAAUACGGGCGCAAGGGUUAAAAUCAAAAGAAAUUGACGGGGGCCGGCCCAGCGGGUGAACCUGUGGUUUAAUUUGGAGCAACGGGGAGAACCUUACCAGGUUUUGACCUUCUUUGACAACCCUAAAGAUAGGGGUUUUCCCUUGGGAGCAGAAUGACCGGUGGUGCAUGGUUGUUGUUAGCUUGUGUUCUGAGAUGGUGGGUUAAGUUCCGCAACGAGCGCCACCCUUGAUUUUAGUUGCCAUCCUUUAAUUGGGCCAUUUAAGGUGACCGCCGGUGACCAACCGGAGGAAGGUGGGGAAGAAGUCAAAUCAUCCUGCCCCUUAUGACCUUGGGUACCCCCCUGGUUCAAUGGGCGGUACAAAGAGGUGCAAGGCCCGGAGGGGGAAGUAAUUUUAUAAAACCGUUUUCAGUUUGGAUUGUUGGGUGCAAAUUGCCUACCAGAAGCCGGAAUCGCUUGUAAUCGCGGAUCAGCCAGCCGCGGGGAAUAAGUUCCCCGGCCUUGUACACCCCCCCCGUCACCCCCCGAGAGUUUGAACCCCCGAAGUCGGUGGGGUAACCUUUUGAGCCAGCCGCUAGUACGA
rnacentral:rRNA from 1 species